rnacentral:rRNA from 1 species
GACGAACGCUGGCGGCGUGCCUAACACAUGCAAGUCGAACGGAGAUAUGAUUUCGGUUAUAUCUUAGUGGCGAACGGGUGAGUAACGCGUGAGCAACCUGACCCUUCAGAGGGGGAUAACACUUGGAAACAGGUGCUAAUACCGCAUAAGACCACGACCCGACAUCGGGAUGCGGUCAAAGGAGCAAUCCGCUGAGGAGGGGCUCGCGUCCCAUUAGAUAGAUGGCGGGGUAACGGCCCACCAUGUCGACGAUGGGUAGCCGAGCUGAGAGGCUGAUCGGCCACACUGGAACUGAGACACGGUCCAGACUCCUACGGGAGGCAGCAGUGGGGAAGUAUUGGGCAAUGGGCGCAAGCCUGACCCAGCAACGCCGCGUGAGGGAAGAAGG